rnacentral:rRNA from 1 species
UUGAACGCUGGCGGCAUGCUUUACACCUGCCAGUCGAACGGCAGCGCGGGCUUCGGCCUGGCGGCGAGUGGCGAACGGGUGAGUAAUACAUCGGAACGUGCCCAGUAGUGGGGGAUAGCUCGGCGAAAGCCGGAUUAAUACCGCAUACGACCUGAGGGUGAAAGCGGGGGAUCUUCGGACCUCGCGCUAUUGGAGCGGCCGAUGGCAGAUUAGCUAGUUGGUGGGGUAAAGGCCUACCAAGGCGACGAUCUGUAGCUGGUCUGAGAGGACGACCAGCCACACUGGGACUGAGACACGGCCCAGACUCCUACGGGAGGCAGCAGUGGGGAAUUUUGGACAAUGGGCGAAAGCCUGAUCCAGCAAUGCCGCGUGUGUGAUGAAGGCCUUCGGGUUGUAAAGCACUUUUGGCGGGAACGAAAAGGACUGUGCCAAUACCACGGUUCGAUGACGGUACCCGCAGAAUAAGCACCGGCUAACUACGUG